rnacentral:rRNA from 1 species
UGGGGAAUAUUGGACAAUGGGCGAAAGCCUGAUCCAGCCAUGCCGCGUGUGUGAAGAAGGUCUUCGGAUUGUAAAGCACUUUAAGUUGGGAGGAAGGGCAUUAACCUAAUACGUUAGUGUUUUGACGUUACCGACAGAAUAAGCACCGACUAACUCUGUGCCAGCAGCCGCGGUAAUACAGAGGGUGCAAGCGUUAAUUGGAAUUACUGGGCGUAAAGCGCGCGUAGGUGGUUUGUUAAGUUGGAUGUGAAAUCCCCGGGCUCAACCUGGGAACUGCAUUCAAAACUGACUGACUAGAGUAUGGUAGAGGGUGGUGGAAUUUCCUGUGUAGCGGUGAAAUGCGUAGAUAUAGGAAGGAACACCAGUGGCGAAGGCGACCACCUGGACUAAUACUGACACUGAGGUGCGAAAGCGUGGGGAGCAAACA